GCUGGGUGUAGUGGUCUGCUUGUAGUUCCAGCUACUUGGGAGGCUGAGGGAGGAGGACCACUUGAGUCCAGCAAUUCUGGGUUGUAGUGUGCUAUGCCUAUCAGUUGUCUGCACUAGGUUUGUCAUCAAUUUCAUGUCCUCCUGGGAAUAGGAGACCAACAGGUUCCCUAAGAAGAGGUGAACCAGCCUAAGUUGGAAACGGAGCAAGUCAAAACUGCCGUACUGGUCAGUAGUGGGAUCUCACGCGUAAAGAGCUACUGCAUUCCAACCUGGGCAACAUAGUGAGAUCCUGUCUCU
rnacentral:SRP_RNA from 1 species